GAUGAACGCUGGCGGCGUGCCUAAUACAUGCAAGUCGAGCGAACAGACGAGGAGCUUGCUCCUUUGACGUUAGCGGCGGACGGGUGAGUAACACGUGGGUAACCUACCUAUAAGACUGGGAUAACUUCGGGAAACCGGAGCUAAUACCGGAUAAUAUUUCGAACCGCAUGGUUCGAUAGUGAAAGAUGGCUCUGCUAUCACUUAUAGAUGGACCUGCGCCGUAUUAGCUAGUUGGUAAGGUAACGGCUUACCAAGGCAACGAUACGUAGCCGACCUGAGAGGGUGAUCGACCACACUGGAACUGAGACACGGUCCAGACUCCUACGGGAGGCAGCAGUAGGGAAUCUUCCGCAAUGGGCGAAAGCCUGACGGAGCAACGCCGCGUGAGUGAUGAAGGUCUUCGGAUCGUAAAACUCUCUUAUUAGGGAAGAACAAACGUGUAAGUAACUGUGCACGUCUUGACGGUACCUAAUCAGAAAGCCACGGCUAACUACGUG
rnacentral:rRNA from 1 species